rnacentral:rRNA from 1 species
UACGUAGGGGGCUAGCGUUGUCCGGAAUCAUUGGGCGUAAAGAGCGUGUAGGCGGCCCGGUAAGUCCGCUGUGAAAGUCGGGGGCUCAACCCUCGAAUGCCGGUGGAUACUGUCGGGCUAGAGUGCGGAAGAGGCGAGUGGAAUUCUGGUGUAGCGGUGAAAUGCGCAGAUAUCAGGAGGAACACCGGUGGCGAAGGCGGGUCUCUGGGC